rnacentral:rRNA from 1 species
AACGAACGCUGGCGGCAUGCCUAACACAUGCAAGUCGAACGAGACCUUCGGGUCUAGUGGCGCACGGGUGCGUAACGCGUGGGAACCUGCCCUUAGGUUCGAAAUAACUCCCCGAAAGGGGUGCUAAUACCGGAUAAUGUCUUCGAACCAAAGAUUUAUCGCCUUUGGAUGGGCCCGCGUUGGAUUAGCUAGUUGGUAGGGUAAAAGCCUACCAAGGCGACGAUCCAUAGCUGGUCUGAGAGGAUGAUCAGCCACACUGGGACUGAGACACGGCCCAGACUCCUACGGGAGGCAGCAGUGGGGAAUAUUGGACAAUGGGCGAAAGCCUGAUCCAGCAAUGCCGCGUGAGUGAUGAAGGCCUUAGGGUUGUAAAGCUCUUUUACCCGGGAUGAUAAUGACAGUACCGGGAGAAUAAGCUCCGGCUAACUCCGUG